rnacentral:rRNA from 1 species
UACGUAGGGGGCUAGCGUUGUCCGGAUUUAUUGGGCGUAAAGCGCGUGUAGGCGGCCAGGUAGGUCCGCUGUGAAAACCCGAGGCUCAACCUCGGGCCUGCAGUGGGUACGGGCAGACUAGAGUGCGGUAGGGGAGAUUGGAAUUCCUGGUGUAGCGGUGGAAUGCGCAGAUAUCAGGAGGAACACCAAUGGCGAAGGCAGAUCUCUGGGCCGUAACUGACGCUGAGGAGCGAAAGCAUGGGGAGCGAACAGG